UAAAACAUAUUUUGAAACAGUUACACACCUUUUCUGCUGUGACUUCAUUGAAAAUCCAAAAAUCUUAUUUUUUCAAAAUUAUCUCGAGAACUAUGUGUUACGACUAUAAGCAGGAUCUGAAGGGGGCCUGUCGUUGUUAUCCCCAGUUGUGUGGGCGGUCGCAUCAAUGAUUACAAAAUUCACAGUAUGACAGUUUUUCGUGUCGCAAAUUGGACAUUAACAAUUAUCUCAGCGUUGAUCCAAAGUUUACUCCUGCAUGACAAUCAAUCCAUCAAUCAAUAUGUAUAUUCAAACAGCUAUUCGAACUGUUCGCAAUCUAUUUUAUUGUCAAGCUGCUUCAGUCGCACUGUGUCCUGGGCGGCGAGUAUAGUGUCUCAAUAUGGUUCCUCAUAUAUUUUUUACCAGGCAUUACCCUACAUACGAUAUUUUUGGCAAUAUAUCGAAUAUUCUGUAGCAGUCUGGGCCUGGACCCAAUUGUGCUCCAUAAUAUUCAACUUGACCUGCGGAACUUUGCUGUUAAUUGCUGCUAGCAUAUUGCUCUACGCUAUGAAGGAUCACUGUGGCAGUGCAACGGCAAAUUAUUUCUAUAUAGCAGGUGUUUUUGGAUUAUUGGCGGGUGUUUGCCAUAUAUGUAACGGCAUUAUGUGCCUAUUUUUUAUACCACUAUUCGAAUUAAAAUUGGCAAAGUGAAGAGCAGAAAAUUGAUAAUCAUGUGCCGAGUAGAACGCUUCUAGCUUGUGAAAAUGGAAUGUGAUACGUAUGACUUGAAGAUAUGACGGCGACAGGGCGCGCAUAUGUAUAUAUCUGGAAUGGCAAGAGAUUAGCUUGUAGAGCUAAGACGCUGAGACGAGAUAAUCCCAUCUGCCCAUCAAGUUCAGGACUCAAAAUUAAAAGCAUUUUCCAAUGAGGUGUUGAAUGUGCACGUAAAGCUUUGCCAGCAACUUGUCUUUGAUCAAAGAAAAACUUUUGGUUUCAUUCCAUAUUUGCUUCACUUAAACUG
rnacentral:misc_RNA from 1 species